rnacentral:rRNA from 1 species
GCACAAGCAGUGAGUAUGUGGUUAAUCGAAGCAACGCGAAGAACCUUACCAGGGCUUGACAUCCCUUGAAGCAGCUAGAGAUAGCUGUGUCCUUCGGGACAAGGAGACAGGUGGUGCAUGGUUGUCGUCAGCUCGUGUCGUGAGAUGUUGGGUUAAGUCCCGCAACGAGCGCAACCCCUGUGGUUAGUUGCCAUCAUUCAGUUGGGCACUCUAGCGAGACUGCCGGUAAUAAACCGGAGGAAGGUGGGGAUGACGUCAAAUCAUCAUGCCCCUUAUGACCUGGGCUACACACGUGCUACAAUGGUUGGUACAACGAGUUGCGAGUCGGUGACGGCGAGCUAAUCUCUUAAAGCCAAUCUCAGUUCGGAUUGUAGGCUGCAACUCGCCUACAUGAAGUCGGAAUCGCUAGUAAUCGCGGAUCAGCACACCGCGGUGAAUACGUUCCCGGGCCUU